CGAAAACCUGAAAUUCAAGCAAAUUUUGAAACAUUUAUUUCAAUCUACUUUUUUCACCAAUAUAACGUCAAGUUGUUUAAAAAUUUGGGUCGCUUUUGCUCGAAAAGAAACACAAUAUUCAAGAAUAGCGAUUGAGGCAAUGAAUGAAAAUCGAUGAAUAAGCAGAGCGUUAGAACGGUGAGUGAAUUCGGAAGGUCAAAGUUGACGUACAUUUCCUGCGGUGUCUUCGAUGACAAGGAGAAUAGGACUCUCAACUUUGGCCAUUUUUCUGUACAUGCUGUUGAGACUGAAGCCAUGUUGGCUUGUGCUGAA